CUUUAGCCCUGAUGGAAACGGCAUCCUUUUAUGGGGGUGUUCCCCAUAAAAGAUAUAGUGGACAGCAGGAAACAGC
rnacentral:sRNA from 1 species